AUCGCUUCUCUGUCUUUUGGCUAAGAUCAAGUGUAGUAUCUGUUCUUAUCAAAUCCUGCCUUCUGCCAUGUCUAAGCAUUU
ensembl:snRNA U2 U2 spliceosomal RNA